CGUUAUUUUGUGAAGGAGGUGGAGUGAAAUUUGUUGAAAAAAUUAUAACAGAAAGUUUAGUGUAUGCCAAAGAAAUCAGAAUCUUCACUACUAUGCUGGGACAUAAAAGUAGUAUAUCGAAAGUGCUGGACAUUCUUAUAGAGAAUAAAAUUCAAAACUUUUGUUCCACUGAAUUUCAUCAAGGCAACACUACGCGUUGGGGAAAAGCAUGGAGUAUUUGUUUAGAAUUCAGUUAAAAAUGGCAAAAAGAAAAACCAUACAACACAAACGAUUUCUGCGAUUUCUCUUUGUAGACGGUUGCUCUUAAGCUUUACACGUAUUAAUAUUAACUAUCAGUUUUGUUUACUUCGUUAGAAAGAUACGUCAAAGGAUUUUUCUGCAACAAGUGCUUCUGAGCAUUUGUAUAUUGCAUUGUCUGGUCCAUAGUUAUGGAUUUCGAACGGGCCCCAUACACGCACUAUGAGGUGUCGAAUUAUUUGCCAUCCAUCUCAGCAACUAUUGGGAAUUACGAACCUCAGCGAACUGUAAAGAGAUUGGCGAUAAUAAUGGAUUUGCCUGUAUGUCUUGUCGCUCAUCUACACCUGACUGGUCGUGGGGGGCGUCUGCCUAGGCGCUCAUGUAGACCUCGACGCUGAUCGGCGUUGAGAUUGCGGCAGCGAUGCCGGGCCCCACUU